AACUUUACCUGGCACAGGAGAUACGUAUCCACGAAGGGGCGGUUCUCCCAGGGCGAGGAUCACCAGUGCCAUCCGUGGCGCUGACCCCUGACGAUUAACCCAAAUGUGGUUAAUCGAAGUGCGCAAUUUGUUGAGUGGGGGACUGCCGUUCGCGCUAUCACCAU